GUCGAACGCUGGCGGCGUGCCUAAUACAUGCAAGUAGGACGCAGUUGCGAACGGGUGAGUAACGCGUAGGUAACUACCUAUUAGAGGGGGCUAACUAUUGGAAACGAUAGCUAAUACCGCCUACUAGUAGAUGGACCUGCGUUGUAUUAGCUAGUAGGUAGGGUAAUGGCCUACCUAGGCAACGAUACAUAGCCGAACUGGAAGGGUGAUCGGCCCGAAUGGGACUGGGAAACGGCCCAGAAUCCUACGGGAGGCAGCAGUAGGGAAUCUUCGGCAAUGGGGGGAACCCUGACCGAGCAACGCAGCGUGAGUGAAGAAGGUUUUCGGAGCGUAAAGCUCUGUUGUUAAGGAAGCGGUACUUAACCAGAAAGGGACGGCUAACUACGUGCCAGCAGCCGCGGUAAUUC
rnacentral:rRNA from 1 species